AUGGCCCCUCCACACUUGGGGGUUGACAUUCACAUGCGUAAAUGGCUGAGCUGGGUUUUUCCUCGUUGCUAUUUUUAAAGGUGUCCAGUGUGAAGUGCAGCUGGUGGAGUCUGGGGGAGGCUUGGCAAAGACUGGGGGGUCCCUGAGACUCUCCUGUGCGGCCUCUGGAUUCACCUUCAGUAGCUACUACAUGGAGUGGGUCCGCCAGGCUCCGGGGAAGGGGCUGGAGUGGGUUGGAGUAAUUAAUCCUAAUGGUGGUAGCACAUACUAUGCAGACUCCGUGAAGGGUCGAUUCACCAACUCCAGAGACAACGCCAAGAACUCGCUGUAUCUGCAGAUGAGCAGCCUGAGAGCCGAGGACACGGCCGUGUAUUACUGUGCGAGAGAUAUAGUGAGGGGAGGCCCGUGUAGGCCCGGACACAAACCUCCUGCAGGGGCGCGCGGGGCCGCCAUGGGGCGCUCGGCACCCACCGAGGACG